rnacentral:tRNA from 1 species
CCCGGAGUGGCGGAAUGGCAUACGCAGCCGACUCAAAAUCGGCCGCCCGCAAGGGCAUGAGGGUUCGACUCCCUCCUCCGGGA